rnacentral:rRNA from 1 species
UUCCUUUAGUUAUUAUUAAAGGUAUUUUCUGCCCUAUGAUUAAUUUAAAUGGCUGCAGUAUAUUAACUGUACAAAGGUAGCAUAAUAAUUUGUCUUUUAAUUGGGGACUAGAAUGAAUGGAUAAAUGUGAUAUUUAUUUUAUUAAAUUUAAUUUUUUAAUUUUAUUUUUUGGUAAGAAAGCUAAAUUUUUCUUUAGGGACGAGAAGACCCUAUAGAACUUUAAAUUAAUUUAUUUUUUUUUAGUUUAGAUUAUUUUUCUAAUUAAAUUUAAUUUAAUUUUUAAUUGGGGUGAUUUUUAAAUUUAACUAUCUUUAUUUUAUAAAUUCAUUUAUUUAUGAUUAUUUGAUCCUUUAUAAAGAUUUUAAGUUAAGUUACCUUAGGGAUAACAGCGUAAUUUUAAUUGAAAGUUCUUAUUUAUAUUAGAGUUUGCGACCUCGAUGUUGAAUUAAGAUUAAGUUAAGGUGAAGGAGCUUUAAUUUCAAGUCUGUUCGACUUAUAAUAUCUUACA